UACGUAGGGUGCAAGCGUUGUCCGGAAUUAUUGGGCGUAAAGAGCUCGUAGGCGGUGUGUCGCGUCGGCCGUGAAAACCUGCAGCUUAACUGUGGGCUUGCGGUCGAUACGGGCAUCACUGGAGUUCGGCAGGGGAGACUGGAAUUCCUGGUGUAGCGGUGAAAUGCGCAGAUAUCGGGAGGAACACCGGUGGCGAAGGCGGGUCUCUGGGCCGAUACUGACGCUGAGGAGCGAAAGCGUGGGGAGCGAACAGG
rnacentral:rRNA from 1 species